ACAGAGGGUGCAAACGUUGUUCGGAAUUACUGGGCGUAAAGCGCGUGUAGGCGGCUUUGCAAGUCGGGCGUGAAAUCCCACGGCUCAACCGCGGAAGUGCACUCGAAACUGCUGAGCUAGAGUCCUGGAGAGGUAGGUGGAACGCUUGGUGUAGAGGUGAAAUUCGUAGAUAUCAAGCGGAACACCGGUGGCGAAGGCGGCUUCCUGGUCCAGCACCGACGUUCAGGCACGAAAGCGUGGGGAGCAAACAGGA
rnacentral:rRNA from 1 species